UAGGGAAUCUUCGGCAAUGGACGAAAGUCUGACCGAGCAACGCCGCGUGAGUGAAGAAGGUUUUCGGAUCGUAAAACUCUGUUGUUAGAGAAGAACAAGGACGUUAGUAACUGAACGUCCCCUGACGGUAUCUAACCAGAAAGCCACGGCUAACUACGUGCCAGCAGCCGCGGUAAUACGUAGGUGGCAAGCGUUGGCCGGAUUUAUUGGGCGUAAAGCGAGCGCAGGCGGUUUCUUAAGUCUGAUGUGAAAGCCCCCGGCUCAACCGGGGAGGGUCAUUGGAAACUGGGAGACUUUAGUGCAGAAGAGGAGAGUGGAAUUCCAUGUGUAGCGGUGAAAUGCGUAGAUAUAUGGAGGAACACCAGUGGCGAAGGCGGCUCUCUGGUCUGUAACUGACGCUGAGGCUCGAAAGCGUGGGGAGCAAACAGG
rnacentral:rRNA from 1 species